rnacentral:RNase_P_RNA from 16 species
GAAGUUCGCCAGGCAGUCGCUGCGUGCACUUGUGUGCGUGGAGGAAAGUCCGGGCCCCGCAGAGCAGGAUGCCGGCUAACGGCCGGGCGUCGUGAGGCGACGGAAAGUGCAACAGAAAGCAAACCGCCGAUGGCUCCGCGAGGAGAUCAGGCAAGGGUGAAAUGGUGCGCAGCGCGCGUCGAGCGUCGUUGCGGACGGGGUGCAAGCCUCGUCGGGUAAGAGCCCACCGCAGGACUGGCGACAGGACUGGCACGGCAAACCCCAUCCGGGGCAAGGCCAAAUAGGGGAGCAAUGGCGUGGCUCGCGCUGUUCCCGGGUAGGCUGCUUGAGCGCCGCGGCAACGCGGCGCCCAGAGGAAUGACUGCCCGGUGCCUGUGAUGCGAGUCGCAGGCGCUCGACAGAACCCGGCUUAUCGGCGAACUUCCCAU